UGGGUGACAAACAGCAUUGGUUUGA
rnacentral:piRNA from 1 species